GAUGAAGACGCAGCGAAAUGCGAUAAGUAAUGUGAAUUGCAGAAUUCAGGGAAUCAUCGAAUCUUUGAACGCACAUUGCGCUCCCUGGUAUUCCGGGGAGCAUGCCUGUUCGAGCGUCAUUACAACCCUCAAGCUCUGCUUGGUGUUGGGCCCCGCCGCCCCGGCGGGCCCUAAAGUCAGUGGCGGUGCCGUCCGGCUCCGAGCGUAGUAAUUUUUCUCGCUUUGGAGGCCCGGGCGCGUGCUUGCCAUCAACCCCCAAUUUUUUUCAGGUUGACCUCGGAUCAGGUAGGGAUACCCGCUGAACUUAAGCAUAUCAAUAAGCGGAGGA
rnacentral:misc_RNA from 1 species